rnacentral:rRNA from 1 species
ACUUUGAAGAGAGAGUUCAAGAGUACGUGAAACUGCUCAGAGGCAAACGGGUGGGCCCUCGAAAUCCCGUUGCGGGGGGAUUCAGUCGCGGGGCCAGUCAGCCGAGCGAGGGCACCGACGGUAUCCUCCGCGGUGUCCCGAACGGCCCGAGCCACGCGACGCACUUCCUCCCGCACAGAGGACGCCGCAGCCGGUUGGGUAGCAGCGAGAGUCGGCCAUGAGGUCCGGCGCCGGCAGGUGACGGGGAGCUCGUCUCGGCACGCAGCCUCCCGUUGUUAGCCGGCCGGUCCGAGGCGCGACACCCGACCGAGGAGAAGGAGCCCCCAGCGGGCUCCGGCCGCGCACUCGUCCGUCGAGUCGGAGGAUUGGGCAGGCGAGAAAACUCGUUCGGAACGACCCGUGCGGGUCGCCCGUCCAGGGGUCUCUCCGCUAGCUAUUUGCCUCCGCGGCGAGCGCUUCGACGGCUUGCGGCGAGUAGGUCGGUCACCCACCCGACCCGUCUUGAAACACGGACCAAGGAGUCUAACAUGUGCGCAAGUCGCAGGGUCUUGAACAGGCCCGGGGGCGCAAUGAAAGUGGAGGCGGACACACUCGUUGUCUUCAGCCUAGUUGGGAUCCCCGACUCCGGUCGGGGCGCACCAACGGCCCGUCCGGACCGAUUCAUCGGCCGGCCGGAGCCGGAGCGCACACGUUGGGACCCGAAAGAUGGUGAACUAUGCCCGGGCAGGACGAAGUCAGAGGAAACUCUGAUGGAGGUCCGCAGCG